GCUGUCUUUUGGUGGCAAACAGGCCCAGACAGCCAGAAAGGGCAUUUCUUACACGUUAGCCAAAUCAGUUAGCCAUUUUAGUUACCAGCAUCAAAGAAGGCAAAGAGAUCAGGGGCUGAAAGACCCUGCACCAGCUCCAUUGAGAGAGCAGAUCAAACCAAGAUCAGACCCAGAAAGAUGACACCCUGAAGAUUGCUGAAAAUGCAGAAUCCAUGGAUUUGGAGACCAACUGUACACUGGCUGGGCAGGAGCGGUGCUCAGGUUGCACCUCUGACGUGAAGAGAACAGGAAUUUUGGAGAACCUACACAGGACUUCCUACUCCUGUGCAGUAAAGUUGCUGUAAACCCUUCCUCUCUGAAGAGUACAGCAUCUUCUACCUGAAAAAAAGCCCUAUUUUCCCUGGUGGAAAGGUUGACUUUCCUGUCAUCACUAAGCUAUAUAACGUAUAAUUGCCAACUUUCACCUGCAAUAUUCAAUGGCACAGUUAUGCCAGAUCAUUUCUAAGGUGCUUUAUCAGUGCAAACGUGGCAGCAGUGAGCCCUAACAAAUUUCUGUCCUGGAAAAUUGACACAAACCAGCAGCUGAUGGCUUGCAGACUGGCACCAGAUCAUGGACCACCACUUUGGGAUCCACUGCUCUAGCACAUGUUCCAGGGUCGGCUGCUACAGGAAUGGGUUCUAUGACACUCACAAUGGUUCCUUGCAGCCCAGAACCCAGAAGUUAAGCCAAGCAUCAAAGCCAGGGGUUGAGGAAGUCAGAAGCAAGGGAAUGAUUCGAGGUUUGGAAUAAGCCAAAAACCAGGAUAUACCAUAAUCAACCAGGCAAAUGCCUUUUAAAGCCUUUCUUGUUGAAGAAAGCCAAUGGCCAACCUGGAUGGACAAACCUUCUUGGGGAUGUGAGAAUUCAUUAUAACCCAAGAAGAUGUGCCCCCAACCUGUAGUCCUUAUGUCUCACCACAUCUGUGCACUUUACUGAGGAUUUCUCAUUCAAGGCCCAGUAGCUCCUGAGAAUGACAUGGAAGGAGUUAACUAAAGGCAGGAAAUAUGAAAAACGCUGUAUUCUCCUUCUGGAACUUCCAAAAUGGGGAGCCAAACAAACAAACACAAAACCGGCAGAAGGUCCCAGGUCAGGGGUGAGAAUCGCUUGGCCUUUUGGAGAGGUCUAGUGCAGACCUUAGGACUCCCACCAAUUGCUCAAAGGCCCUGGCAUCCCCGAAAAGAUGUUCAUUCAAAAAGUCAUUUCUAAGCCAAAAAACACUUUCAAGUGGUUUCUCGAUGACUGACAAUGUUUUUGUUUACUUAUGCAAGGCUUACUGGACUUGGUUAUUUCAUUUCACAUGU